GAUGAACGCUGGCGGCGUGCCUAAUACAUGCCAGUCGAGCGAAUGGAUUGAGGGCUUGCUCUUAUGAAGUUAGCGGCGGACGGGUGAGUAACACGUGGGUAACCUGCCCAUAAGACUGGGAUAACUCCGGGAAACAGGGGCUAAUACCGGAUAACAUUUUGAACCGCAUGGUUCGAAAUUGAAAGGCGGCUUCGGCUGUCACUUAUGGAUGGACCCGCGUCGCAUUAGCUAGUUGGUGAGGUAACGGCUCACCAAGGCAACGAUGCGUAGCCGACCUGAGAGGGUGAUCGGCCACACUGGGACUGAGACACGGCCCAGACUCCUACGGGAGGCAGCAGUAGGGAAUCUUCCGCAAUUGACGAAAGUCUGGCGAAGCAACGCCGCGUGAGUGAUGAAGGAUUUCGGGUCGUAGAACUCUGGUGUUAGGGAAGAACAAGUGCGAGUUAAAUAAGCUGGCACCUUGACGGUACCUAACCAGAAAGCCACGGCUAACUACGUGCCAGCAGCCGCCGUAA
rnacentral:rRNA from 1 species